ACAAAACAACAAAUAAACACAACAGAAGGCCGAAUCCAAACUUGACCCCAACAUCAGUUGAUUGCCUUCGGCUUUCGUGUAACCUUUCCAUACAACAGCAACAUCUACAUUUUUGCGGAAUCUUUUGCGAAGUCAAGAUCUUUCCCGACAAAAACUCCACCUUCACAUCCAUAGUAGGUGCAGCCAGAACUGUGUGACGAUUACAGAUACACCGUAACGUCCAAUAGUCAUAUCAUCAUCAUGAUAUUUGCAAUAGUAACUACCACUCUUAUGCCGGAGGGUGUUCCCGACAUUUUCUGCGAGGAUUUAUCGAAAAUAAUAUCGGAAUUACUAAACGUGCCAGAAAAGGAUAUAACAGUACAGGUUCAUCCAAACCAGUUGAUGGUACGUAAUGGAUCCCGGGAGCCUAGUGCAUAUAUCGAACUAUACCACGUAGAAGGUUGUGAGACAGAGGACCACAAACGAAAAGUCUCAAAGACAAUACUGGACUUCACUAAGCAGCAUCUUCAUAUUGAAUCAUCUAGAGUCUCCAUAAUAUUCCGGCAAACUGCAGGCAAAGACAUUGGAAUCGAGGAUGGAUUGUGGUCUGACUUUCACAACUAAGACAUGGAAAGUGUCGUUAGGUCCAACAUGUCCAAGCUCAACAAAAUAAUCAAAAGAUAUGUGUAUACCAAAAGUCUUGAUGCAGUUAUGUUAAUUACUCCUUUUGAGGGAUAUUUCGCUUAUGAAGGUGUAUUUUUUUUGUUCCAGUGGUAAUAUGGUGCUAAAUUGUUAGGGACAAUCACAAUACUGUUGUCACAAAUAAGUCACGCGCCUAAUUGUAACAAGGAGGCAAAAAGUUAUUCAUUCGGUCCAACCCUUUCCCAGUAAGUGUAAUUUGAUGUAGCCAAUCGACCCCCCUACAAAAAAAAAAUAUGCGUAUGGUUCGACACUCCAACGCUGAUUCUAGGUUGGGCAUUUACUGAACCUCCUUUUCUUAAAUGGGAAGGAAAUAUUUCUUAAAUUUUUGAACUAUUUGACUGUCGGAAUAAUAAGGGUUAUUUUAUUCUUUCAGGUGGUGAACGAGAUUUAUUUCCCAAAUGAAAAUUUAUCGACAUAUAGCCUUUGAUGGGCAAACAUAAUAUUACCUUUUACUUGUAGUUUAUAAUAUAAGCCCCCCUGAUUCACCGUUAAAUAAAAAAAAUCUUUAUAGCUAGUUCCACUUCAGAAUACAUUUGAAAUGAAUAAAUAAUCACAUCGUAUCUCUUGUAAAUGCGACAGACGAGUAGGCAGUCGCCUGACAGUUCCGGUGGGUGUUUCAUAAUGCUGAUCGUAAGAUAAGAGCGACUUUAAGAACGACUGGUUAUCCUUUCUUUUGUAAAUGGUGUACACCAUUGGCGAUGGUUUAGCGCGUAAGAAAGGUCACCGGUCGUUUUUAGAGUCGCUCUUAACUUACGAACAGCUUUAUGAAACAGCCCCCCGACUCAAUAACUCGUUUUGCAAUGAUGAUAAUGCUGAAUGCAUCAUGGAUGGUUCUACUCGAGAUUGGAAAGUACUACAAUAAGUGUUCUUUUUUUUUCUUUGUUUGUUGAAAAAGAAUAGUAGACAACCUCUCCAUGAAAAUAUAUUGCGGCGAAUUUCCGGGAAAACUUUGAGUGUACCGGUUUCACGGGCCUAAAUACAACUGGCAGGCAAAAGAUAUUCAUUCGAGCCAACACAUUCUCAAUUUUUAAAUUUGACAUUGCUGAUUGACAAGUAUGAAUGAAUAUGAUUGAUAAUCUAACACUGAUUCUAGGGAAGGUACCGACUGAACUUCCUUUUUUCCAAAUUGGAAUUGGAAAGAUAUAUCACUACUAUGGAACUAUUUUUUUUUACUGGCGGAAGAAUGAGGGCCAUUUUACUCUCUCAAGUGAUGAAUUUGAUCCUGUCAGGUGUAGUCUUCAUAAAUGCCGAUUUAUUUUUAAAAUGAACCGGUCGAGGUACCCUUUUCUGAUCAGAUAUGGAAUGUCAGACAUAUAUCCUGUCCACUGGUAGUAAACAUUCAACCCUCGAAUUCCCUCCUUAUUUUUUAUGAUUUUUUUUAAGUGCCACUUUAACACACGAGUCUAUGGGAAAUGAAUUAAGCCUGUGAUAGCUACCUCACGAAAACUCGGCGCCGUAUGCUAUGGGCGUUUUGUUCUAAAAUGAUUUGGGAGAAUGAGGUAGGGCAGGGCUGGUGCUGAUUAAGAGUUGGACAUUUACGGGGUGCGAAUUAGUCCGGAAAACUUUGAACAAAUAAAAUAAUAAUAAUAAAUUGUCCCGCUAAUUUUACGGGGCGCGCAAUGACAAUGAACUCUUUUUACGGGGUACAUUAGAUUUUCGAAUUUUACCCCCUCCCCUUAUCUUAGUCUGCUGCAGGCACAGACCCCGAAUUCUGUAUUGGUUUUCGCAGUUCGCAUAGUGCAUAAUGCAGAGUCUGAAUAGUGAGACUAGAUUCACUAUGUACUGUGGCUCUGGGCUCUGAUUUGACACAUACAGAGGAUUUGGUGUCUAGUGUCAAAUGUGAAUUUUCUCAGCAUUUUAUUUUGUAAUGUUUAUGAUAUUUUGCUUAUAUAUAAUACUUUGUUUUGUUUUACCUAUAGAAAAAUAUAAUAUAUUGUACAUGCUUCACUAUAUAUUGUCUGUAUAAGUUCAUUCUAAUUAUUUUGACCACUUUACUUUGUUCUAUUAAAAAUGAAAUAAAUUGAAAAUUGAAAUUGAAUUGAAAAUUGAUAUUGAAUUGAAAAUUGAAUCUGUGCUGGCAGACUAAGUACGUUUCCCCGCCUGUAAAUGAUAUCGAAAUUAAAAGCGGAGUUAUUACAGUAAAACCUGUUUCAGUAUCUUAAAAAACGAGACCACCUGUCUUAUACUGGCACAAGUUGGGUUUCCCUUUAAUUGUUCGACCUCAUUUAAGGGGUACCCCGGGCUGAAAAUAUUUAUAUCUACAUAAAUAGAGUAACAUUCAUCGAGCAAAAUGCUGAAAAUUUUAUCAAAAUUCGAUAACAAAUGACAAAAUUAUUGAAUUUUUAAGUUUAUCAAUAUUUUGCGAAAACAGUUAUAUGCACAUCGCCUUGAAUAUUCAUUAGAUGGGCUGAUGGUGUCACAUCCCCACAUUCCUUUUUCUUAUUUUAUUCCAUAAAAUCAAGAUUAUUUCAUUUUUUAAAAAUACAUGUGCGGAUGAUAUGUCUCCCUUAUUAUAUAAUAACUCGCAGCAAUGAAUAUCUAAUGCAGUAAACCAGUUGUCCAUUCUUUUUUUUUUUGUUCUUGAAGGAUAAAAUUUGAAUAAACUUAAUGUCAUGUAAUAAAAUACAAAAGAACAAGUUGGGAUAUAACAUCAUCAGUUUGCUCAUUGGAUAUCUAUGAAGACAGGGAUAGAUCUGUUUUACCGAAAUAAUGCAAACGUUUAAAAUGCCAUAACUUUGUUAUUCCUUGUUCAAUUUUGAUCAAAUUUCGAGUGAUUUGUUGGUCUGAUUUUCCGUAAAAUUAUGUUCAAUUCAUAUUAUUUUUAGCUUGGAGUACCCCUUUAAACAUACAUUGCAGGAAUCUAUAUAUAACGACCACCUGCAGCUCACAAAGACCGCUUUCAUUGUCUCUCUUUAUGGCUUUCUUUGGUAUAUAAAAAAAUUAUUUAUAUUUAAUCCAUCCACUUUCAAGCAUUGUAAUUAUUAUUCUUGAUAUCAAUGGCUUAUCAUUGGUUAGUUGAUAUUAUUAUUAUUAAUUUUCAAUAAAUACUUCUAUUGUAUACAUGGAAA